rnacentral:rRNA from 1 species
UAAUACAGAGGUGGCAAGCGUUGUUCGGAAUUACUGGGCGUAAAGGGCGCGUAGGCGGCCUUCUUAGUCAGACGUGAAAUCCCCGGGCUUAACUCGGGAACUGCGUCUGAUACUGGAAGGCUCGAGUUCGGGAGAGGAAUGUGGAAUUCCAGGUGUAGCGGUGAAAUGCGUAGAUAUCUGGAGGAACACCGGUGGCGAAGGCGGCAUUCUGGACCGAAACUGACGCUGAGGCGCGAAAGCCAGGGGAGCAAACGGGAUUAGAUACCCCGGU